UAUACCCGACCUGAAGCUCAAGAACCCUAAAUCUCUCCAAAUUUCUAAAGAAUAAGCCCCAAAUCGAAGCUCAAGCUAAGUUGUUUUGAAUCAAAGAUAACUAAAUUCAAGUUUAUUUUGACUUUAUAAGCCCAAUUAGAGUUGUAUCUCUUCACUGCUUGAGUAGGCUUUGUAAGCAAGAGGAUGAUCAUGAGUUGAAGGAUGUGCUAAGCAAACAUGGAUUUCUUCCGCCUUUGUUGACCUCUUGGACCUUAAGGAACCCUGGUACAAGAUAUUGGAGUUGUCCAUAUGAUGGUGGUGCUAGAUCAUGUCAUUUUUAUCUUUGGAAGGAUGAUGACAUUGAUCCAAGAUCCAAAUUUGUGAUUCCUAAACUGGUGGGAAGAAUUUGAUGAACUUGAAGCAUCAUUGCAGACUUUUGGAAAAGAUGAUUACAAGCCUACUAGGUCAAUAGACUCUGUGGAAAGCAAAAUUGAUAAGAACAUAGAGAUUCAACUAGACAAUUUUGGAGAAGACAUUAAGAAGAUGAAAGAAAAUGAGAAGAAGGAGAAAGUAUUUUUGAUUUCCUUAUUGUGUAUUUGUAUUGCAAUAGUAAGUUUUGUGCUUCAAGACAUGUACUUGAGAGGUGUUUCAAUGAAGUUGCCUUAAGCUUUUGGUGUAGUUGUUUUUGAGAAUGUUGUAAGGGGGGUGCAAUUGUUAGUGUUGUAAAGAACUUAUUGGUGUUGUAAUGAACCCUUAUUUUGUGU